UACGGGAGGCAGCAGUGGGGAAUAUUGCACAAUGGGCGCAAGCCUGAUGCAGCCAUGCCGCGUGUAUGAAGAAGGCCUUCGGGUUGUAAAGUACUUUCAGUCGUGAGGAAGGUGUUAAGGUUAAUAACCUUAGCAAUUGACGUUAGCGACAGAAGAAGCACCGGCUAACUCCGUGCCAGCAGCCGCGGUAAUACGGAGGGUGCGAGCGUUAAUCGGAAUUACUGGGCGUAAAGGGCACGCAGGCGGUUAAUUAAGUUGGAUGUGAAAUCCCCGGGCUUAACCUGGGAAUGGCAUUCAAGACUGGUUAGCUAGAGUCUUGUAGAGGGGGUUAGAAUUCCAUGUGUAGCGGUGAAAUGCGUAGAGAUGUGGAGGAAUACCGGUGGCGAAGGCGGCCCCUGGACAAAGGACUGACGCCCAUGUGCGAAAGCUGGGGAGCAAACAGGGAUUAGAUACC
rnacentral:rRNA from 1 species